CCAGUUGGAUUUUGGUGGAAACCAAGACAUUUUGGAGUUUAUUAGCAAAGUCUAUAUGAGAAAGAUGAUUCAUAUUUAGUAAUAAAGACUAUACAGAGAAAUUGUCAUUGUCACAUAAGCUCUUCCUAGUUGGCAGCACCCUAGCAGGGGUGCACACCUCCAUUUGGUCCCAGCUCUGCUGAGCAGGCAGCCACAGUAGGCCCCCAGCCUGUGAAGGGGAUGUGCCCUGGGGGACCAGCGCUCCCAGGUUCUAGCAUCAGGCCUUACCUAUGCUUCUCUGAGUCUGUUCCUUCCUCAUUCUGACUUCCUGCUCUGCCUUUCACUGGUAGGAAAAGGCAUCCAACUCGGAACUGAGUCAGAGUGCUCAGCAGCUGGGUCUUGCUUUUAGUUUUGUGCAAAAAUCAGUGGAAUCAAGGUCAAGAGCUCAGCAUGUGAAUUUUUUUUUUUUUUUCUGGGGAGCAAGUGGGCCUGGGUUUGAAUAUGCACGGUGCUUAGAAUCUGUGUGAUUUCAGGCAAGUUUCUCAAUUCUGUUUCCAUGUUGCCUCAUCUGUAGAAUGGUGGGAGCCAUACGGUUUUCUCACAGGGUUCUCACAUGAGUUAAAUAAGUCAGUGGGUGUGAAGUGUUGGAACAAAGCCCGCUGAGUUCAGCUCUCAGUGGUGCAACAGUGCUUGUAGAGGAGCCCUGGAGGGGGAAGGAGCCCUGGAGGGGGAAGGGGCCCUGGCUCACCUGAGGACAAUCUUGAGUGCAAGGCAGGAGCCCGGCUUGUUUCAACACCUGGGCUGGGCCUGGAUGAGGGUCUUUAUUUCUGUGCUCAAGGUUAUUUCGAGGGGAUUUGGAAUGAAGUUAAUCCCUCCUUUCUAGGUGCUGUAGGGGAAAUGGGUCCCUCUUCUGUGGUUACUAAAGUUGAGGGCAUUGGUGUGGACCCAGUGUCCCAUAUAAACCUGUCGCAAAACAAAAUGGCAUGAGAUUGAAUCAGAGAAGUGGCCUGUGGGGGCACUUAGAGGUGACUCCUAAGGACUAGGAAGCAUCCAUUCUAAGGCAGUUCACUGAAGAGCAACAAGGGAUUACUGGAUACAAACGCAUGUACAGGGAGAUAGGCUUGUCAAGCUUGAAAGACCAAGACCAUGGUUAAAGGAGUAAGAAGUGAAAAUUCAGGCGACUAUAAAUCUUUGAGUCAUUUUGUGCUUCUUGAAGGCAUUACUUUCAUCAAUACAAAGGCUUUACAUUAGUGUUUCAAACAGGUUUUGCAGAGCAGAAAACUUAAAAGUAAGAUUACCUUGGAGAAAAGCAGUACCCUGGAACCCGCGGGGCCACCAAUCGCUCUGCAGCUCACUGGUCAGAACAAGCUUGGCUAGGAUGAAUUAGCCCAGAAUGGAUGAGCCUCUGCAGGACCUUGGGGCUGAGUGUCCCCAGAGGAAGCCAGCCCGGGGUUCAGCAAAAGGACUUGGAAGGGGGCGAAGGGAAGGGAAAGCAUUUGAGGUGAGCCUUUGGUGAAAUAUAUUCUAGAGUAGGAGAAAGGUCCCCAUCAGUUCCGUCCUGGGUAAGCACAAGUCUCUUGGUCCCUCACUCCUGCCCAGUCUCUUCCCUGGGAACCUCUCACUGAGAAGAUGACCUCCUCUGAAGUGUUCUUUAUCGAGAGUUGACUCAAAGCCAUUGAUGGUAUUGUCAGCUUCCGAAUAUCUUAGAGAGCACGUUGUCCAGUGGUUGCUACUUUCCCCCCCACCCCAGGAGAGUCGCACAAUUUAGGAAAAUUGAUAAGGCCUCCUGCAUAUUUUGCCUUCCUAUUAGGGUGGUACCAACUAAUCAUGUCUGUCCAAAAAUCUUAGCCUAAAAAGCUUUUGUCUCAUCCAACCCUCUUAUUACAGAAGAAAAAAACUGAGUUCCAGAGACAGAGAGCACUUUACCUGCAGGUCUUCAGCUCAGCCUGUAAGUAGCAGAGAUGAGACAGGGACUCAUGACCUUAUCCAGGCUCAAGGAGGGUUUUGAUUUUAGUGUCAUUUCUCACAUACAAACCACAGCAGUGUGCUCUGAUUUUCUAAGUUGUUUAUAUGCUGUAAUUGCCUCUGUAUUCUCUUUCCUUUAUCUGUUUAGAUAAGCACCAAAGAUUAUGGGUCUCAUUCUGUACAAGCUAACAUCACUUGGUAUACUGUUAGCCUAGAAGGGCAAUGGAAGUGUCCAGCUCCAUUUUAAGUUCUUGAUAUUUCCAAAUGUCUUCAGUGAUGAGCAUUUUUUGAAGACAAAAGCUUAAAAUAGGACAGAGUAUCUUUCUUUCCAUCAGGAAAAUGCCAACAGCUUUCAAAAUCUUUGUUAGCCUUUCUGAUAUUUCCCAGAGAACCUUGCAAGUUAUUCGCAGUGGUUCGGAAACAAUGAAGGACGUUACACACCUUGUGGUACCAUGUUUCCUAAAAUGCGUUAAACUUAUCAGUGGAAUAUGAGAUGAUAUUAAAGAGUAUGGUGAUCAGACCUUUUAUUUUAGUAGUAGGUAUAAAUAGGUAUUUAUUUUAAUGCAUGUAAUAAAAUAUUAUAAUAAAAAUAUAAUUAGUACAAAUAGUAACAUUUUUAUUGCUUCGAAUGGGAUUAAAUAUAAAAGGAAGUUGAUUUAAAGAAAAAUGUUAAAUAAUAACAUGUCAGUAUAAGUGGUACCCAAAUUUGGCAAAAAUUUAAACAAUGAUACCCAAUAUUACAUACACAUAACUACAGUGGAAAUACUCAUUGAGGCCACAAGUAACGUGUAAUUUGAACAGUCAUAGCAGCCCACAAAACUUGAAAGACAACAGCAAUGGAACCCACAGUUAAUUUAUAACUGUACAUGAGUUUUUAUUCCCAUGAAUGGGGGAGAACUUAAUCUUGGCCCUUUCACAAAAAGUAACUUUGAUCCAGCAGUUUUCCUAUGUGGAUUCAAGAUUCUUUCCUCAGUCCCAGGAUGGUACCCAGCUGUGGCCCUCAUCCUGUUGGCUUCCUCUGUAGACUCCCCUUUGGUGAUUGACAAGAGUUUGGAGGAGCGGGGGCGGGCUUCCCCUGGGCUUCAGAUGUUUCUCUGUCAGGGCCAUCUCUACACUGCUUAGUCAGCCUUGUCUGGUGCAGGUGGCAUCACUCUAGCUUAUGAUGCAGAUCAUCUGUGGUGUGCACCUGCACUUCCUAGGCAUGCCUCUGUUUCCCCUUCGACCUCCAUGUGUGUACACACACACACAUAACCUCACCUCCACUCACUCUCCACACAUUUCCUCCUUAUCCCUUUCCUUCUUGCUUUAGAGCUCUUCUUUUUUCUAUCCUGUCUCCCUACAUGACCUUAUCCAGGCUCAAGGAGAUUAAGGAUGAACAGGACAAAAAUGGUACCUUCCCUCAUUCCUCUGGGGUAGAAAUUUACAAGGCAAGAUAAUUGACAAGUUAAUAUAAAAUAAUAAAAAUUACGGUAUGUUUUUUUAAAAUAAAGGAAGGAGGCUGAGAUAUAAGUAAUGCUGCAGUGACUAUCUCUUGCUCAAAAUUUUAUUCUUCAGAGGCUUAAAAGUGGAGUUGUCAGGGAAAAGGUCAUCAUUUUCCAGCUUCUGGAUACAUAUUUUCAAGGUCUUUUAGGUGGAGAUAAUAAUUCAGAGAGGUUUGGGGUGCUUGGUGAGGGGGGCGUGUUCCUGAUAGUUCCUUCAUUAAUUGAUGAAGGAAAUAUUUAUUAAAAAAAUUGUGUAGGAGUUCCAUUGUGGUUCAGUGGUCAACAAACCUGACUAGUGUCCAAGAGGAUGCAGGUUUGAUCCUUGGCCUCGCUCAGUGGGUUAAGGAUCCAGUGUUGCCAUGAGCUAUGGUGUACGUUGCACGUUGCUGUGGCUGUGGCAUAGCCCAGCAGCUACAGCUCUGAUUGGACCCCUAGCAUGGGAACUUCCAUGUGCCAUGGAUGCAGCCCUAAAAAGACAAAAUACAACAACAACAAAAAUUGUGUAGCAGAGUUCCCUGGUUGUGCAGCAGGUUAAGAAUCUGUUGUUGUCACUGCUGUGGCUUGGGUCAUUGCUGUGGCAUGUGGUUCAAUCCCUGGCCCAGGAACUUCUACAUGCUGUGUGCCCCCCCCAAAAAAAUUAUUUAUCAGUCAGAGUCCAAUCAGUAGACAGUAGCCACAUAAUUAUUUAAACAGGGAAAAUUUAAUGUAUCAGUAUUUUAUCUAUAAGGAGUAAGAGAGAGCUAUAAAGAACACAGGAAUAACAGAUAAAAGGAGCAGUCACUAUCUCUAGGGCUGUGGCAGAGAGCCAGGGAAGGAACAAAUCUUUAAGAGGUCUUCCCAGGAGGGCGGAAAUCCAGAUCUAAUUCUAGAGGGUAUGACUGCCCCACAGGGUAGUGAAUUUUCCUCAGGUGCUUGAUUUGUGGGGUUCACUGGGAACCUACCCCAUGGAGUGCCAGUGGAGGUUGUCCCCAGGGGUGCACCUGGUAUAGAACUCCUUGGGGAGCUGUUUGUGAGGCUGAUGCUGCUGAAACUCCUGGGGGUGGGAGUGAGUUUCAUGUUAGUGCCUCCAGUGUCCCUGCAAUGCCAGCUGCUGCCCCAGUGGAGCAAAAGGGGAGGAUUACACUGGAACCAAGAGGAGAAGCCCCUCCCUCCUCUAGGGGUCCCCCGUCUCCCUGCACCCUCCAGCAACAAAGUUUAAUAAUGUGCCAGUUGACCAGGAAAGUCUGUUCUGGCUUCCCAGGAGGCCAAGAAAGGGUGGACUGGGAACUGAGAGGCAAAGGUACCAACUUCUGUUCUUUGCUUGAAGAUCACUUCUGGGGUGUUAAUUCACCAGGACGUUUGGCCAUGUCCUGUAAAAGCCAGUCAUAUUCUUGUAUAUAGAAAAGGCCCUCAAUUCAUUGGCCUGUGAGAGGAAGCUCUCAGUUUGCACUGAAUGGUGGGUGCCCCAGGGGCAGUGGGUGGAGCAGGUGCUCAUCACACAGACUAUGUGUUUACUCCUCUAGUUCCUGUAUUGUUUGCACCCCUACUCUAGAAUGUAGGUUUUACGAGGGCAGGGGUUUGGUCUGGUGUAUAGACGGCAGCCAGAACAAUGUGAGGCACAUAGUAUGGACUCAGUUCAUUUUUGGUGAAUUAAUGAAAGGAUUUCCUGUGAUUCUCAGGGAAAGCAUGUGAGCAUUAAUGGCCUUGGUGUGCCUGGAGUUAGUCCGUGGGUUUCAGAGGUCUCCUUCUCUCUUCUUGAGCUGGUAAAUAUACACAUCCAGAGCAGCCCACAUGUUCCUGAUCCAAAUGAUUAUGUGCAGGACAGCUUAAAAAGGGUAAGGCAGGAGUUCCCAUUGUGGCUCAGGGGUUAAUGAACCUGAUUAGCAUCCAUGAGGAUGUGAGUUUGAUCCCUGGCCUCACUCAGUGGGUUAGGGAUCCAGUGUUGCUAUGAGCUGUGGUGUAGGUCGCAGAUGCGGCUUGGAUCCUGUAUUACUGUGGCUCUGGUGUAGGCCAGUAGCUAUAGCUCUGAUUUGACCCCUAGCCUGGGAACCUCCAUAUGCUGGGGGUGUGGCCCUGAAAAACAAAAAAAAAGAUGGGUAAGGCAGAACACAGUUGCUAAUACUUCUGGACAACUGACACAAGACUUGAGAUUGCUCAUUUUUCUAGGGUAAUUGCAAACCAUAGCAGCUGCACUGGCUCCAGCUUGCUGGGCAUAUUUCAUUGCAAAUGGGAGAUGCCUAUGAUUGUAGCUGACAGAGGGAGGCAAAGCCAAUGCGGACAGCUUUCCUUAGGGGAAUUAAACUCAUCUCUUCUCACUACAAAGUUCUUAACUCCUUAGCUGUGAAGGUUUAGGAAUCUUUACCCAUUAACACCUCAAGUUGCCCUCAACAUAUUCAAUUUGUACUCUAGUUUCAGUGCCAGGGGGACAUUUUCACUCCAGGUGUUUUAUUUACUGUUUUGAGCAGGGUUCUAUAUUUCAGGAUAAUUUAUUUUCCUUUAGGAUGAAAGUCGCUAUAUUUUGUCUAACAUCAAAUCAUCUGAGACUGUAGUAUAAAGGGCCACAUAUUUAUCUUACCCGGUAUUUUUAUACAUCCAGAAUUUUUUUUUUUUUUUUUUUUUAAAUGGGAUUCAGGGGGCAGAACCAAAGUCAGGAUUUGGACUCUGACAUCUAACUAGAGAUCCAGGUAACUCAAGUAGAGACAAGUACAAAUUCUAAGUUAAGUUGGUGAUAAAUUUAGAGAGCAGCGUAGAAUUUAUCCCUGAGCCUACAGCUGGGGCUUUUAAAAUGAUUGAGGGUAUGAAUACAUGAUUCAAAACUAAUCUCAGGAACCAACAUAGAGUUCAGAAGCUUUAUCAAUGCUAGCUAGAUCAGUGGGGUUUGAGAUGAAAUAUUAUAAAUCAACUGUGAGAAGGUGUUAAUCCAAACACUGCCUCCAGCUUGGAAGGUUAUGCGUGAGGUGGGAGAUAGUGGAGGGAAGAGGCUGCUGGAAGAAAAGACACUUUUUUUUUUUUCAGUGAGGGCGUGCAUUGCCUCAAGCUUAGGACCCUGGUGCUCAGGAAUCAAAUCUUGCAUUCUGUAGUCCACUCUGCAGUACUGAAGCAUUUUCACUUCACCUUUUCAGAUUUAGAUACCAGGGCAUAUGGGGAAAUAGGGAUAUGAUGUUCUUGGGGCCUGGCUGAAGGGCUGAAUCUGUCAGUGUGAUGUUUUGGGAAGGCAGCUGGUGUGAUGGCUGAGAGGUUUUCUCAUUCAUAGUACAGGAAUGACAACAGUACCAAAUCACAAGUUUGUUGGAAAGAUUAAAUGAAAUAUUCCUUGUCAAGUGUGUAACACUUAGCAUACAGUCAAUAUUAAAACAUGUUAGAUAUGAUUAUUACUUUCAUUAUUAAUGAAUGUGCAUCAUGUGAUGAUGUAUUAAGUUCCCCAAAGCUUCUUUUUUAAAAAAAUUUAACUGUUCAGUUCAGAAGCCCCUGGGAUUCCUAGAAUAUUUUAAGAGCAUUGAUCAUGGACUCUGUUAACAAGUCCACUGGGUUAGGGUCCAACUGCAUCCUUGCUUAAGAAGAUGAACGUUUUAGAUAACACAUCAGAUUCAAUUUUUAAGGAAUUGGAAGUAAAUAUUCUUGAAAAACAUAUUCUUGGGCAUAUAGUGAGAGCAAAACCACAAAUUAUGUUAACUUCCAAUACCAGUAAAGAUUCAGUUCAGUUCAGUUGUGGGUAAUAGAAAAAUGUAAAAUAAUUGGAAUUCCCUGGUGGCCUACUGGUUAAAG
rnacentral:lncRNA from 1 species